rnacentral:rRNA from 1 species
UCCGGUUGAUCCUGCCAGAGGCCACUGCUAUCGGGGUUCGAUUAAGCCAUGCGAGUCGAGAGGGUUCGGCCCUCGGCAUACUGCUCAGUAACACGUGGAUAACCUGCCCUAAGGAAGGGGAUAACCCCGGGAAACUGGGGAUAAUACCCUAUAGGUUACAGAUGCUGGAAUGCUCUGUAACUCAAAGCUCCGGCGCCUUAGGAUGGAUCUGCGGCCGAUUAGGUUGUUGUUGGGGUAACGGCCCAACAAGCCAGUAAUCGAUACGGGUUGUGGGAGCAAGAGCCCGGAGUUGGAUUCUGAGACACGAAUCCAGGCCCUACGGGGCGCAGCAGGCGCGAAAACUUUACAAUGCGGGCAACCGUGAUAAGGGAACCUCGAGUGCCUGUAUAUGCAGGCUGUCCAGGUGUCUAAAGCACACCUGAAGAAAGGGCCGGGCAAGACCGGUGCCAGCCGCCGCGGUAAUACCGGCGGCUCGAGUGGUGGCCACUUUUAUUGGGCUUAAAGCGUUCGUAGCUGGGUUGUUAAGUCUCUUGGGAAAUCCGACGGCUCAACCGUCGGGCGUCUAAGGGAUACUGGCAAUCUUGGAACCGGGAGAGGUGAGGGGUACUUCGGGGGUAGGAGUGAAAUCCUGUAAUCCUCGAGGGACCACCUGUGGCGAAGGCGCCUCACCAGAACGGCUUCGACAGUGAGGGACGAAAGCUGGGGGAGCAAACCGGAUUAGAUACCCGGGUAGUCCCAGCCGUAAACGAUGCGCGUUAGGUGUAUCGACGACCACGAGUCGUCGAGGUGCCGAAGGGAAACCGUGAAACGUGCCGCCUGGGAAGUACGGUCGCAAGGCUGAAACUUAAAGGAAUUGGCGGGGGAGCAC